ensembl:lncRNA
AUCAGGUGUUGCGUAGUGUGUGGUUGCAGCUGGCCAGAGCCCAUUAAAGGGGCUGGUUUCCAUGGGGCUGGGGAUGUGGGAAGCAUGUGCUGAAAUCAGGAUGCUAUCUGCUAUAAUCCUGCUCUUUUCAAAACACAGAAAAGCGUGACGUUUUCAUGAGACCAGUCAAAAUUUUCAGCGUUCUCUCCUGGUUCAAAGCCCAGCAUUUUACCAAAAUGACAAUUCUGUGCUGUAUGAAAUCACUAGGAACUAACUGGUACAAAGAAUGCUAUGUGCUACUGACAAAAGCCUUUUCAUCACUUACAGCCAGCAGUCUGGAACUCCUGGUCAUGGUGCAGGAAAUGCUUGUGCCACCAUCACACAGGAGCCAUCCUGUUCCUAUUGCAGACCUCCCUCAGAUGUACCUAUCGUCCCCACAACAUGGCACAGCACCACCCAUUGCUGCUGCAUUCAGAAGACAUGCUGUAGCUGUUGUCUGGAAUCUGUACCGACUUUAAAAUUAUUGCCUCUAGACAUCUUGCUCGUUGUGCUUGUAUCACCUUCAUGGUACGUCGGAUGUUUCCUGCAGCCCUGAAACCACUUCACAGUCCUGUCAAAGUGCUUCAGGACUGCCAUGCACUUCUCAGCGACUCAUUGGAACCAGCUGGACCCACAACGGCUGAGUAAAGAGAAGGCAAAAAAAGCUGAAGGAACUGAAAAAAAUGAAAGGAAGUGGGUGGAGAGCGUUUGGCUCAUGUUCAAUGGUCUGGUGAUUGAAGACAAAACAUCAGCAUUCCUUCUGGUAUUUGUUUCCUUGUCAG